rnacentral:tRNA from 1 species
GGUAGGAUGGCCGAAGCAGGUGGUGGGUUGUAACCCCAAAGAUAGAGGUUAAAGCCCUCUUCCUAUCA